UACGUAGGGUGCGAGCGUUGUCCGGAAUUAUUGGGCGUAAAGGGCUCGUAGGCGGUUUGUCGCGUCGGGAGUGAAAACCUCGGGCUUAACUCGGGGCUUGCUUUCGAUACGGGCAGACUGGAGGUAUGCAGGGGAGAACGGAAUUCCUGGUGUAGCGGUGAAAUGCGCAGAUAUCGGGAGGAACACCAAUGGCGAAGGCAGCUUGCUGGGACGGUACUGACGCUGAGGCGCGAAAGCGUGGGGAGCAAACAGG
rnacentral:rRNA from 1 species